AUUGAACGCUGGCGGCAGGCCUAACACAUGCAAGUCGAACGAGCGGCGGACGGGAGAGUAAUGUAUGAGGAUCUGCCCGAUAGAGAGGGAUCACUACUGGAAACAGUGGCUAAUACCGCAUACUGGAGGAUGCACCGUUAUGGGAUUAGCGAGUAGGUGGGGUAAAGGCUCACCUAGGCGACGAUCUCUAGCUGGUCUGAGAGGAGGAGAAGACACACGGGGACGGCGACACGGCCCGGACGCCUACGGGAGGCAGCAGUGGGGAAUAUUGCACAAUGGGCGCAAGCCUGAUGCAGCCAUGCCGCGUGUAUGAAGAAGGCCUUAGGGUUGUAAAGUACUUUCAGCGGGGAGGCGUUACCCGCAGAAGAAGCACCGGCUAACUCCGUGCCAGCCGCCGCGGUAAUAC
rnacentral:rRNA from 1 species